AUUGAACGCUGGCGGCAGGCCUAACACAUGCAAGUCGGACGGUAGCACAGAGAGCUUGCUCUCGGGUGACGAGUGGCGGACGGGUGAGUAAUGUCUGGGGAUCUGCCCGAUAGAGGGGGAUAACCACUGGAAACGGUGGCUAAUACCGCAUAACGUCGCAAGACCAAAGAGGGGGACCUUCGGGCCUCUCACUAUCGGAUGAACCCAGAUGGGAUUAGCUAGUAGGCGGGGUAACGGCCCACCUAGGCGACGAUCCCUAGCUGGUCUGAGAGGAUGACCAGCCACACUGGAACUGAGACACGGUCCAGACUCCUACGGGAGGCAGCAGUGGGGAAUAUUGCACAAUGGGCGCAAGCCUGAUGCAGCCAUGCCGCGUGUAUGAAGAAGGCCUUCGGGUUGUAAAGUACCUUCAGCGGGGAGGAAGGCGAUGUGGUUAAUAACCGCGUCGAUUGACGUUACCCGCAGAAGAAGCACCGGCUAACUCCGUGCCAGCAGCCGCUGUAA
rnacentral:rRNA from 1 species